rnacentral:tRNA from 1 species
AGUUAAUGAACUUGUAAAGUAUAUAUUUUGAAAAUAUAAAAAAGGGUUAAACCCCCUAUUAACUU